rnacentral:rRNA from 1 species
AUACGUAGGUGGCAAGCGUUAUCCGGAUUUACUGGGUGUAAAGGGCGCGUAGGCGGGGAUGCAAGUCAGAUGUGAAAUCUAUGGGCUCAACUCAUAAACUGCAUUUGAAACUGUAUCUCUUGAGUGCUGGAGAGGUAGACGGAAUUCCUUGUGUAGCGGUGAAAUGCGUAGAUAUAAGGAAGAACACCAGUGGCGAAGGCGGUCGUCAGGACAGUAACUGACGCUGAGGCGCGAAAGCGUGGGGAGCAAACAGGAUUAGAUACCCUGGUAGUCCACGCUGUAAACGAUGAAUACUAGGUGUGGGGGGACUGACCCCCUCCGAGCCGCAGGUAACACAAUAAGUAUUCCACCUGGGGAGUACGGCCGCAAGUUUGAAACUUAAGGGAAAUGACGGGG